UCUGGGCACAUUCCUAUAAUCCUAUAAUUAUAAUUCCUAUAAUCAUAGCUACUGGGGAGACUGAGGUAGUUAGAUCUUUGGAGCUCAAGAGAUCUAAGCUAAAGUGGACUAUGCCAGUUGGGUGCUCAGAUUAAGUUUGGCAUUGAUAUGGUGAGCCCCUGGAAGUGGGGGCCACUAGAUUGCCUAAAGAGGAGGGAACUGGCCCAGCUCACAAACAGAGCAGGUCAAAGCUUCUGUGUUGAUUAGUAGUGGGGUUGGACCCAUGAGUAGCCCCUGCACUUUUGGCCUGGAUGAAAUGGGGUGAACCAGUAUUU
ensembl:misc_RNA Metazoa_SRP Metazoan signal recognition particle RNA